UGAAAUUUUAUUUUACUUUCCUUUUGCAAU
rnacentral:piRNA from 1 species